rnacentral:rRNA from 1 species
AGCGAACGCUGGCGGCAGGCCUAACACAUGCAAGUCGAACGAACCCUUCGGGGUUAGUGGCGGACGGGUGAGUAACACGUGGGAACGUACCUUUAGGUUCGGAACAACACAGGGGAAACUUGUGCUAAUGCCGAAUGUGCCCUUCGGGGGAAAGAUUUAUCGCCUUUAGAGCGGCCCGCGUCUGAUUAGCUUGUUGGUGAGGUAAAGGCUCACCAAGGCUUCGAUCAGUAGCUGGUCUGAGAGGAUGAUCAGCCACACUGGGACUGAGACACGGCCCAGACUCCUACGGGAGGCAGCAGUGGGGAAUCUUGCGCAAUGGGCGAAAGCCUGACGCAGCCAUGCCGCGUGAAUGAUGAAGGUCUUAGGAUUGUAAAAUUCUUUCACCGGGGAAGAUAAUGACGGUACCCGGAGAAGAAGCCCCGGCUAACUUCGUGCCAGCAGCCGCGGUAAU